CUUUGUUGCCAGCGGUCCGGCCGGGAACUCAAAGGAGACUGCCAGUGAUAAACUGGAGGAAGGUGGGGAUGACGUCAAGUCAUCAUGGCCCUUACGACCAGGGCUACACACGUGCUACAAUGGCGCAUACAAAGAGAAGCGACCUCGCGAGAGCAAGCGGACCUCAUAAAGUGCGUCGUAGUCCGGAUUGGAGUCUGCAACUCGACUCCAUGAAGUCGGAAUCGCUAGUAAUCGUGGAUCAGAAUGCCACGGUGAAUACGUUCCCGGGCCUUGUACACACCGCCCGUCACACCAUGGGAGUGGGUUGCAAAAGAAGUAGGUAGCUUAACCUCCGGGAGGGCGCUUACCACUUUGUGAUUCAUGACUGGGGUGAAGUCGUAACAAGGUAACCGUAGGGGAACCUGCGGUUGGAUCACCUCCUUACCUGAAAGAA
rnacentral:rRNA from 1 species